GACUCUGUAGCUCAGUGGUUAGAGCAUACGAUUGCAACGAGCGUGUUAUCGUGGGGUCCCGUGUUCGAACCACGGCAGGGUCU